rnacentral:lncRNA from 1 species
UUUCCCUCUCCGUUCGCACCAACACUGGGAAUCUGUUUUUAAAUUAAUCCUUCGUGAAGGAGGCUGUUUCCCCCCUUGAUUUCAAAAGGAGCAGAUUUACAAAGCCCUUCCCUGGAGAAACCCACUCUAGGCACAGAUGGUCGGUAAAUUUGGCUUCUUCAGCGAAAUUCCGCAUGGCGCCGCCAGAUGGCAUUAAGGAUCACCUUCCAGUCUCCGUACGUCCCCGACAUCCCCCGCCACCCCACCCCGUGCCCUAUUUCAUGCAAAGAGGCUGGAAGCAAAUGUGAAGGAAAUGUGAAGGAAAUAAAAAACAAAACAAAGCAAAGUAAUGAACGUGCCCACAGUCCUGAGGUUUUUAUGGAUUUGCAAUUCUGCAUCAGCCUGGCGACCAGAAGCGUGUGCAGUUUUUGAGGUUUUGCUCCCUUCCCUUCUCCCAAUAUCGCCUUCAUCACAGGUCACAAAUAGCUCCAGGGGGUCCCCAUUUCCGCUGACGUGGCAAAAUAUGGUACAAAUUAAACGGCCCUGGUGGUAUACAGAGAGCUGCCAACAUUUUCUUUUUUGGUGCUUUUAUCUUCCCAAGGGCAGAACCGGCCCUAACCAUGUGUAUUUUAUUUACAUCUCGUAUAUACCAGGACAGGAAUAGUUAACCAGAACUAAGCCAUCUGACAUUUUUCACCACAAAUUUGGU